rnacentral:tRNA from 1 species
GGGGAUAUAGCUCAGAUGGUAGAGUGCUUGCCUUGCAUGCACAAGGCCCUGGGUUCAAUCCCCAGCACUA